AUCCGUAACUUCGGGAAA
rnacentral:snRNA from 1 species